rnacentral:ribozyme from 1 species
AAAAAAAAAAAAAAAAAAAAAAAUUUUUUUUUUUUGUUUUUGUUUUUUUUUUUUUUUUUAUUUUUUAUCUUUUU